rnacentral:misc_RNA from 1 species
GAUGAAGAACGCAGCGAAAUGCGAUAAGUAAUGUGAAUUGCAGAAUUCAGUGAAUCAUCGAAUCUUUGAACGCCCAUUGCGCCCCCCAGUAUUCUGGCGGGCAUGCCUGUUCGAGCGUCAUUUCAACCAUCAAGCCCUGCUUGUGUUGGGGUCCUGCGGCUGCCCGCAGGCCCUGAAAACCAGUGGCGGGCUCGCUAGUCACACCGAGCGCAGUAGCACAUCUCGUUCAGGGCGUGCGGCGGGCUCCAGCCGUUAAAGCACCCACCUUUCGCAAGGUUGACCUCGGAUCAGGUAGGAAUACCCGCUGAACUUAAGCAUAUCAAUAAGCGGAGGA